UAGCUGACCAAUUUGUUUUUUAAAGGUAGUCGUUUGACUGAAGUGAGUGAAGAAUUUGAUAACUUUAGCUUCUUGGCUUAUGAAGUAAGUAGGGAUAAUGGUAUCCAAUGAAGUAAACAGAGGAAAGAUAGAUUCUGCACAAGAGUGGUUUCAAAUGCAGAUUAAACUGUACCAAAGACAUGGGUCUCCUGGGGAAAAUGAAUCUUAGUUACCGGACUGAUCAUUCUCGUCCUUGGAUUAUCUCCUCCGAGAAAAAUGGUAGGUACCUCCUUUAGGAGUCAGUUUUGUCAGGAAGGAAAACUUUUAAAUUCAUUAAGUUUAAAAUCAUUCUCCUCCAAUGAGCACUCAUAAUUAAGCUUUCCUAAGAUUCUGGAAACUGUCUGUGAUAAUUAUGUCAAAAUAGCCCCACUGACUUGAUGGUUUAUAAUGUAAGAUGGCUUUACGUCUGAAUGUGAAAAAUAUUAAAAAGAGACCAACUUGCAGGAGGGGUACCUAACACUCUUCAGAGUGUGCGUAAUAAUCAAAUGUAGCAUAAUCCCUUGCAAAGGAUUCUGUUCCAUCCAUCAGAGGCAGUCAGUGUGGACCCGGGGAAGGGGAGAAGGACUGCUUAACAACAGGAAGGGUGUUCAUGUGAAGAAAAGUGGUUUCCAAAGUCUGCAGUGGAAUUUUUCCUUCUGGAGCUAUUUUCGUCAGGAAUUCUCUUCCUCCCCACACCUGGACAUAUGCCUGGUGCCUCUCUUCCCCAAGAAUACAUUUACCAUUUAAAAAUAUCUUUUGGUUUAACAAUGUUUGCUGGCCAAUAAUAAAAGCUUUCUGUGAUGCCUCUCUCUUUUAAUGUCAGGAGAAAACUCAGGAACUGUUUACUACUUUGGGUGGGUGGCUUGGAGGGAAAAAAGAAAACCAAGCGGUUUUGCCCAGGAAUGCUGACCAAUCGGUACUGAAGUACUUCUGGUUCAAGUUUUCCUCCUAGCAGUCAUUUUAAUCAGCACUUCCCCUUUUUAAUGAGCUUGUAGUGCCAUUACAUAAUCACCCCGCUCACUGGAUUAAUGAUGAAAAGAGGAACUGAUUUUUCCAGUUGCAUCAUUUGAAGUAAAUGUUAACUUUCUUUCUGAGUCCUUAGUUAACCGCAUUAGUGUGACAAAUAUGUCUUUGUCUAGCAUAAGUAAUUAGAAUUUAAUCACUUUAACUGCAUCUUAAUUACCCCAAAUGAAUUGAAAGGACAUUUAAUAGCAAAGAUUAAAUUGCCUUAAUGAACGAUUUUUGUGACUCCAUCAAUACUUGAAUCGCGUUAGCCACUCCUCUCACGCACUCCAGUCGCGGAACCUGUAGUGAGCACGGAGGUCACUAGGUGGCGCGCUUCGCUCGUUUGUUUAUUUAAUUUCCCCCAUUGAUCUGUUUUAGAAGACAACAGGAAAGGAAGCGAAAAGCACAUAGUUUAUUGUGUUCCUCCGAUAACCUCUCUUUGGGACUAUGAGAUCAUCCCCAGAUGUGAAAACGAAAGCAGUGACUCAGAAACUGUCCAUUCUGAGUACCCCAAGGCAUACGCAAAGUAAGAUCGGAAACACAUGCUGCCUGGAAAUACGCAGCGAUUGGCAGAAACUGUGAGUUGUCCUCUGAACAAUUGCCAACAGAUACACAGAGUUUUACUCAACUUAUUAUUUUUUAGUGCAGAAUCUUAAAAUAUGAGUAACAGGCAAGCUUUGCAAUAACCAGGCAGGCACUGAUGUGGAGCAAAAAAAAAGAAAAAGGUAAUUGCUACCAAAGUAUGGAGAGGAAUGCCAAAGCCCGAAGACAUAGGAAGCCCUGGCCCGGGUCCACAGCUAAGGAGAUGGGUCUUGCUCAUCAGUAAUUGUUUAAGUGAAGGAAGAGAUAAGGGAGUCUUGGGUUCCCCACCUAGCUGUGGCACUGCCUUGAGUUCCCAUUGGCUGCUUCUCCAAAAGAGAGUAAUUAAAAACUCUCUCUUACAAGUCUUGAGUAUAAAAGAAUUGAGUUUCCAUAAGCAACUGCCUUUAAGAAUCCCAGAAGGAAGACAUGCUCUCUGUAGUUUCAAGAACUUCAUUAUGGAGAGGCUUUCUCAACUGGGUGUUUGUGACAGUGAAUCAGACAUUUCCACACUCUGGGUCCACUGACCUGGUGGACCUGUACUGUCAACAGAAACACCAGGUGAAGGGUAAGAAGGUCCUGGGGUUUGAAUUGAGAAAGCUGAGUUCAGGGCACCAGCUAUGUUUUCACAGGUAAUUAUUUAACCUCACUGAAGAGAACAACAAUAUGGGGAAAUAAUGGUAACUGCCACAUGGACAGGUGGCUCCCAAACUUUGCCACAUGUUAAAAACACCUCAUUCAAAUCUCAGUGCCCAAGUCAUGCCCUAUACCAAUUACAUCAGAAUAUCUUGGGUUGUAAUCAGGCAUUGGGUUUUUUUAAAGCUUGAAGUGAUUCCAAUGCAUAGCAAGAUUUGGGAGCCACUGGCAUAAAUGAAGAAUAUUAAAUGAAAAUAUUUAUGUGUCCACCACAGUAUCUGAUGAAGAGAAUGUGCACAACAAACUUAAGCUCCUUCCUUAUCAAUUGCUACGACAAAUCUGAUGAGUUGUACCAGUUAGAAUCUAGUUCUGUCCAGCUGUUAUUAACAUCUGAAAGAGAUGCCUAUCUAAAAGAGAAAACAAUUUCUAGGAGUGAAUUUGUUACAAUUUUAUGAUAAUGUAACAUCUUUUGGAAAUAUUCCAUAGCACGACCUAGUGAUACAUAACUUUUGUGUUUAUAUAAAAAUAAUCAGAUUUUUGUGAUGGGUCCAGUCACCUAACUUAAUCCUAUCAUCUCAGAGGGAAAAUAAGUUUCGUUAGUGUUAACAUAUUUGUACUAAAAUAAGAACCUGUGCAAACCUGUUAAUAGAAAGUAUAGAUUUAUGAUUGCACACUAAAUCUAUAAAAAUAGGUUUCUUUUUACUGGACUGUAUGAGACUGACAUUUUUUUCAUGUGGAAAUAAGGUAGCUUUCUUCCCUGAAAGGUGCUCAUCUUGUUUAAAUAGAAACAAUGAAAAUAAUAUUCAAUAUUUGUGGAAUAUUCAAUAUUCAAUAUUUGUGGAACACUUUUCUCCAGCAUUGUAAGGAAUGUGUCCUCUGACAACCAUAUCUUCAGCUCCUCCUUCUGUUGCUACCUUAGGUUGGGGGCCAUUCCACUUGACCAAUUCCCCCAAGAGUGUGGAAAUCCUGCUGUUUUAAUGGGGACCGAAAUGAAACUAGCCAUUUCUCAUUCACCUCAUCAAAGCUCCUAGGUUGAUUUAAAAUAUUAAGUUGAUGCUUAAAUAUUCCAAUGUGUGGAGUUUACACUGAGCACUGUCACUUGAGGGACAGACAUGGGCUCUAACUAGCAAGCUCAGGAGCAAGGUUCCUGAGACUGUCCUAUUUAAUUAACCACUGACAUUAGAGUAAGGAUUUUCUUUCUUACAAGAAAAUCAGGAAUAAAUUUUACGGAUAUCCUCUGUAAGAACAAUUUCUUCUGAUAACUUUGUGUAGCAGCAUCUGAUUAUCUGAAUUUGCCAAGAAUGUGGAAAUGAUGACAUCAAAACAACUCGUGUAACAACCUCCUUAAAGACCUCGUAGAUUAGAGAUGACUAUAGAUUUUCCCCAGCGCGGAUCAAAGGGACUGAAUUGAACGUUUUGGCUUAAUGAUCCAACCCCUGUCACACCCACAGGGACGCGAAUUCCGAUUUUAUAAGCAGGUGUGCACAUGCACUCAGACGCACACACAGAGCUGCAGAGGAGGGACGAAAAGAUCAACUACCUGAUCGACGCGGCUUUCCAAACACAUCCUAGUCGCCUUCCAAGGGCGAAGAGAAACUGGACCAGGCAGCAGGAGGCUUGGGCCCUGUCCAGGGUCCUGACGCCUCCCCAGCGCUGGUCAGCUUCUGAACGCCCUUUUACCCACUCCACACGAGACGGAACAAAGACUUCCAAGAUCAAGGCCCCAGGGCUGCCUCCUGACUCUAGGUCAGUUUGCUGGUGGAGGAAACAACAAAACAAAGGAAUUGUCAACCCGUCAACCCGCCAGGCUCAACCUCUGACUUCAGACCGCCACGGUCACCUUCUCUGCUCUGACCGUGUUUUUCUCGAAUAAAAACAUGCCAGCGAAGGCACAGAUUCGGAUAGAAAAUCUAAACACUCAUCUUUGGGGAGGUUAGAGUCGGGGUGUAAUUUGGGGGAUGGCAAUUGUGUCUCCAUGAGUAGGGCUUUGUUGAGCACCUCGAUAGAUCCACUACACAUCCUUUUCUUUCUCCUUCACAUCCUCUUCCUAUCAAAACAGCUAUUGUUUUGAGAGUCACUAGGACAACGGAUAGGCUAAGUACAAAGGCAAGUAAGCCUCUUUCCGCGGCGGGGCGAAUCGCGGUCGCUUGCUGGGCGCCAGGCUCCAGAGGCCCGCAGGGGGCGCAAGCAGCUUCUGUAGCGCAGCCGGUCGGGCUACUCUGAGAAUGAGCCCAAAUGGGGGCGGGCGGGGCGGGGAGGGAUCUGGGAGCGCAGAGUGCUGAGGCUUGAAGAUACAGACGCAUCCUGGGCUUUGGGUCGCUUUGCUGCUACAAAACAAAUGUGCUAUUGCUGCCACUGUCCUUCCCAAAUGUCAACUAGAGGGCCAGCUGGGUCUCAAGUGACCACUGAGCCCUGGGCUGAGUGGCUUGCUCUCAAUACCGGGAUUGGAUCUUCGGAUGCUUCCAAUGCGAUCCCAGCUGCACUGGCUGGUGGGAUAGCCUCACACCCUCCAAAGAGGCUGUUGGGUUCUUUUGUCUUUUUAGCAGGCGUCUCGCUGCACUGACACCAACGUAGCCACACAAUAGCCCUCAGUACUCCUGGAGCCCCAGAAGCAGGUGUCGCCCAUCCCAGCCAUACUCAUACUAGAGGCCCCAGUCUUCCUUCCCCAAAUGCAGACUUCUAAAUCCCAUGUGCACCUUCGUCUCCUCGCUAGGGUUUGUGCUAAUGGGAUCUUCACAGAGGAAACUAUUGUCCUACACCCUCCAGGGGACAGACACACACUGUAAGAAAGGCGUCAAGUGGAGCCUUCUGGUGGCUGUUCCCAAGAGUGAGACCUUUUGGUUUAGAAAUCGGCUGGUAAGUGUGUGAGGGUCGCCAGUCGACUAUCCGGACCCACAGUCCUGGGCGGACUCUGGAACUCCUCGGUCUCCCCCUGACAACCGGCUGUCCCACUACCACGCUGGGAGGAGGCACACCCAAGCCUUCCGAGGAGGAGGCGCUUGCCGCGGGCAGCCCCUUUCGUCCCGGGCUGGGUGGCGACACAGUCGGUCGCGCCUCGCCAGCCCUUUGUUCGCGCCGCAGCCAGCUGGAAGCAGCUUGCGCUGCUGGACACCCGCGGCGCAGAGACGCUGAGCGGAGCGCGGGGAAAACGCUGCGCUUGACGCCUUCUCCCCCUGCUGUCUGGCCCAGAAACUCUUCCAGAUUCCGAGUCCCACACGCUCAGCUCUAGCUAGCUUCCCUUCCCGCCCUGGAGUCUUUGAGGAUUGAAGAGUGGUGCCUAGGGUCCAGUGUCACACUCCUGCAUUCCUGCACGGCUCCUGCGGCCCAGGGAAGAAAGGGGAUAGUGGAAAUAUCACCGCCUGGGAUAAAUAUUAACGAAAAAGCAAAUGGACUUGUGUGGGGCCCAGUUAUCAACCAAUCAGGCCCCAAGGCCACUCAAGGCAAACACAGCCCAGGCGCUCACGUCAGAGGCGCGGCACCGACCCAUCCGCCCACCCCACCCGAGAGGACACGUGGCCAGAACCCUGUCGCGCUGCGUUUUAAUGGGGCAGCAGCAAGUAUUACAUUGAGGGAACAAAUAUUGAUUUUUUUUUAAGGUAGUUAAUUUGGUGAGAAUUUCCUCCUGUCGUCAGUCCUCCACCAGCCGCUGUAAUUUCUUGAUGGGAAGGCGUCUCCCCAAACACACUGCAGGGUGGGGAGGGUUUUGACCCUGUUCAACAGGCUGCACAGAAUUCGGGGCACAGAGAGGGGUGUGGAGGGGCAUGGAGAAGCCGCCCUCCCACAGUGGAGCUAAGAAACCGAGCUUAAUGGACCCUGGCCUGGAACGGUGGUUGGGAGGAGACUGGGGGAGGGUCUUUGAGUGCAGGAGCUAGCAAAGCUGUAGGAGGCACCUCUGCACGUGGGAGCUGGUCCUGUUGGGCAGUCAUGAAUGUCCCCAGCCCGCCAAGCACCUGGCAAUCUGUUUCAAAGCCCCUGCACUCGGGGCUUGCUAGAGGUCAUUUGGAGUGUUCAGAACCCGCCCCCUUUAAAUGAAAGUGUUAAUCAACGUUGUUCUUCAGUGACUUAAAAAUAGGUCUCGGCUUUUGCGGUUUGAGGAGCUGGUUCCAGGUUCCUUGGAGAAGGCCCUUUUGGAUCAGCACAGAACCCUCCGGCCCAACCCUCCCCACCACUCCUUUAAGUUGAAACAAAAAUGGAAGCCACAUGUUUCACCAGGGAUUCAGGACGCUGAGUUAGCUCAGUGUUUGGCACCAAACACCUGUUCUGCUGAAGUCUCCUAGUUUCACUUUUUCGAGAGAAAGCCAUGAGCUGGGGGUCAAGAGCUGCAAGGCUU